rnacentral:rRNA from 1 species
CCUACGGGAGGCAGCAGUGAGGAAUAUUGGUCAAUGGGCGAGAGCCUGAACCAGCCAAGUCGCGUGAAGGAUGACGGCCCUACGGGUUGUAAACUUCUUUUGUCAGGGAGCAAUUGGGUCCACGCGUGGGCUUAGCGAGAGUACCUGAAGAAAAAGCAUCGGCUAACUCCGUGCCAGCAGCCGCGGUAAUACGGAGGAUGCGAGCGUUAUCCGGAUUUAUUGGGUUUAAAGGGUGCGUAGGCGGGAUGCCAAGUCAGCGGUCAAAUACGGGGGCUCAACCUGCGUCCGCCGUUGAAACUGGCGUU